CUGUGCUCCUGCUUUGUGACUGCAAAAGGGCCUGUCAUAAUCUCUGUCUCACUGAUAGCCCAGUCCCCUCCCUGGGCCCCCAGCCACCCAUGCAGGGCUGAUGACUGGUGGUGAGAGAAAGCCUCUCUCAGCAGGUGACCUAAAAGGAAAGAGGAAGGAGCCAGCCAUGAUGAUGUGGGGGAAGAGCAGAGGGAACGGCAAGCUCAAAGGCCCUGAGGUCACUCCAGCUGCUAUGUGGAAAAUCAAUUCCAGGGAAACGGAAGCAAGGAAACCGGUGAGGAGGCUAUCGCACGGCCGAGCUGAAGGAUGACCGGUGGAUAAGCUCAGGAAAAAUCAGCAAAAAAACCACCCGGAAAUUUAGUAGAAUUUACCAGGAGGGUAGGAGUGGUUAGUGGAGAAGCUAAUUACUGUGCAUAAAAUUGGUAGACGGGGCAAAGAGUGGCUGGCGUGGAUACACCUUAUAUGGGUAUUCACAAUUUCCUUUUGAAGCAAGGAUGAUUUAGUUUUCUUUCUUUUUUUUUCCUCCCCAAAUCCCCCCAGUAUACAGUUGUAUUUUUAAAAUUUUUUUAGUUGCGGGUCCUUCUAGUUGUGGAAUGUGGGACGCCACCUCAGCAUGGCCUGAUGAGCCGUACCAUGUCCACGCCCAGGAUCCGAACUGGCGAAACCCUGGGAUGCCGAAGCAGAGCGUGCCAACUUAACCACUAGGCCAUGGGGCCGGCCCCGUUUUUAAUAUAUAUAUUUUUUAUUGAGGUAACAUGGGUCUACAACAUUAUAUAAAUUUCAGGUAUACAUCAUUAUAUUUCAAUUUCUUUGCAGAUUACAUCACGUUCACCACCCGAAUAGUGACUUUUCUUCUGUGGAAGGAGUUCAGGGAACUUACGCCAGUUAAAAAGCAUUUAAUUACUGUUGUCUAACUUCUGUUGCCUCAAAUUCUCUCAGGAAACUUCUUAAAUAGACGGAGUUCCCAAUCUCACACCCCCGAGAUUCUCAUUCUACCAAGCUGAGGAAUCUGCAUUUUGAGAAUCUCCAGUUAAGUAUUUAGCAGCAUCCCCUGAUGGUGGCUAUUUUGAAAUCGCAGAUGUAACAAAUUUAUGGUACUUUGGACUCUUCAUACAUAAUUGUCAUAGGCAAAGUAACAAUCUUUUACGUUUAUAAUAGAGCUAGUUUUAUGGGAAUAACCAAAUGGGGUGGAAACUCCUUCUUAUUCAGUAAUUAUCUGGAAAGAACUCUCAGAAGUAUUAAGAUAAAAAAUAAUUGAAACUUUGUAAGUAGUAAUUAAUCGGCUAUUACGGGGUCAGAGGGCAGUAAUAGCUCGGAACCCACAGCCCAGCUGAUUAUUAGGGUGCUGUAAGAUUAGAAUAAUUGCAACUGUGGAGACAAAAUAGAAAGAUAGUGGCCUUUUCCAAAAGGUAUAAAAAGCCAAUACUUCCUUCGGCAGCAGAACUUACCCCAGCCGCAGAAGAGACGCAGUCCCAUCCCAGGGGUGUGUAUUUGUUUGAAGCAGUGCUCUAACUAGGCAUGAGUCAGUUCUCGCUGAGAAUUUUGUUAGUGUUUCAUUUUGGGUUGGAAAUUGCUCCUUUAGAGCCCCGACCAAGACCAGCCCUCCACACCACUGGUGUAUCUUUGCUUAACUGCUCAGAUACCUGUCUCCCCUGGACUUUCCAGAGAGUGGAACAGAGGGCAGCUCAGUGUCUGAGAGCUCUGGCCAUGUGAGGAGAAAAUACUGCAAGGGAAGUCUGCCUGGGAGGACUGUUUCUACACUCAGGUUGGCUGGAGGAAUCUUCCAGCUUCAUGGCUUAUUUGUUGGUUGGUUUGCUUGUUUCUGUUUGAGGGCUAUUCUCAGAAUUCUCCAUGAACAUUCAUCCAACAUCCCCCUCGUGCCAUUUUUCUCUCAUUCACCCUAGGCUCAUAUUUGAAUUAGAAGAUCAUCGAGGAUAAUUUCUUACAUUCUAGACAAGGCAACUGGGGUGUGAGUAGAGUGACUGCUCUAAGGUCACAUAAAACUGGAUCAGUGCCCAGGACUACUCAUGGUGGCCCAGCAGUGUUCACAGGCCAGUGUCCUUCUGUGACCAUCUGGUCCUCAUCACCUGCUUGUCCUGUCCUUCCUCCAUCCCUGCAAAUACCGACCCCCACCCCUAUCUGUGCACACACGCACACACACAUACACUCUCUCUCAGUUUUCUUCUUUCUGCAAAUCCCUUUUCCCCUUCGCAUUUUACCAAGCUGACCAAAACAUGAAAAAUAAAUCGAACAAAAAAAUUCUUUAUUUUAAAAUAACAAACCCAAAUGCUCAGCUUUCCAACCUUAACUAAAUUGUGCAGGGUUUACUUGUGUUACUUCCUCUUGAUUUAUUUUUGUGGGUUCAGCCUCUAAAAAAAAAUAUAAAGGUUUAUCUGUUACAAUCCAAAGGAGAACAACUUGAAGGAGGAAAUAGAAAACAAAGGGAAAGGUGAGCAGAAAGAUCGCAUAACUACCUAAGGGAACACGAAAUACAAAUCUAGACAUGCCCACAUGUAUUUUUCCAUUUAGAAACAAGCCUUAGCAGCCUUGGUGCCAUCCUUUAUUGUUUCCUCUAGACGCUGGCCCGGUCUCAGUACGCAGUGCAUCUGGACUAAGCGUUAGCCUGCCCUCUGGUGGUGCCUGCCGACAUGUGCAUGUACAUGCGCCCAACGCCCAGGAAUAGGCGCUUGAAAAACUCACUGCUAGAAGGAAGGCUUCGGCUGCUUUCCAGUAAAUACAGCAGGUGGAGACACACACUGAAAAACUGCAACGCAGUCCACCUUGCUUUCAUUUGGCUCUUAGGAGAUUGCUGGGCACCCACAGUUAUUGAAACUAAGUUUGAUCGUAAUUUAUUUGUGAUGAUUCAUAUUUCCUGCUUGUUUUUAAUUCUUGAAAAAUGUUAAGAUCUGGAGAUUUCAAGCAUAUACAGUUUCUAAAUCCGUUGACUCCACCCCCACAUCAUUCAUUCGUAUUAAAUACCUACCAUGUGCAGAGAUUCAGGGUGAGAUGGUGGUGCAAAGGUUGGUAAGACAGACUCCAUCCUUAAAACUCACCCUCUGAUUGGGGAGAAGACAUAUUUGGACAUAAUUACAAUAUAUGGCGAUGGUAUAAACAGA
ensembl:lncRNA